rnacentral:rRNA from 1 species
AUUGAACGCUGGCGGCAUGCCUAACACAUGCAAGUCGAACGGUAACGCAGAGAGCUUGCUCUUUGGCGACGAGUGGCGGACGGGUGAGUAAUGCUUGGGAAUCUGCCCAGUAGUGGGGGACAACUCGGGGAAACUCGAGCUAAUACCGCAUACGCCCUACGGGGGAAAGCGGGGGAUCUUCGGACCUCGCGCUAUUGGAUGAGCCUAAGUCGGAUUAGCUUGUUGGUGAGGUAACGGCUCACCAAGGCGACGAUCCGUAGCUGGUCUGAGAGGACGAUCAGCCACACUGGGACUGAGACACGGCCCAGACUCCUACGGGAGGCAGCAGUGGGGAAUAUUGGACAAUGGGGGCAACCCUGAUCCAGCAAUGCCGCGUGUGUGAAGAAGGCCUGCGGGUUGUAAAGCACUUUCAGUAGAGAAGAAAAGCUUACGGUUAAUACCCGUGAGUCUUGACGUAACCUACAGAAGAAGCACCGGCUAACUCCGCG